CAGGGGGAUCCCCAGCAGUGUGCUGGCGGCAGGGACCCUGACAAGGUCUGGAGCCUCAGAGCGCACCUGCCCCCACUUACAAGCCCCGGCCUCGGGGAUUGGGUGGAGUGUCCCCUGCCUCCAACGGCUCCCAGAUGAAUAAAACUUUAUCAUGGUAUGCAUGUACAGGAGACAUGUAUAUAGGUCAAAAGGGGGCACAGUGGCAGCAGAAAUCUUGUCACAUGGCUGUCAUCUGUAACGGCAGCGUUCUAUGUGGAGUGCGUCACGGCCAUCAGUGAUCUUCUGGGGGACUGCCUUCACCUGCUGCUUCCUGUACCCACUGUCCUGAUUUCCAUCACCAUAGAUGAGUUUGGCCUGUUUUUGAAUUUUGUAUGAGAGAAACAUACAGCAUGUUCCUCUUUUCAUGUCUGGCUUUGUCUCUUAGCAUGGCGCCCAUCAGGUCCAUCCAUGGCUGUGUAUAUCCACGUCCAUUCCUUUUCAUGGUGAAUGGGCUUCCACUGGGUGGACAUGCAAGGUCUACUGUGGACAGACAUCUUGGUUGUUUUUGGGUUUUGAUGAUUUUGAAUAAAGCUGCUAUGAACAUUCAUGUACAAGUCUUUUGAUGGACACGUAUGCUAAGUUUUGUGCUAUGGGCUUAGGGUAGAUCUGCUGGGU
rnacentral:lncRNA from 10 species